GUCUUUGUAGUAUAUGAAAUACCCUGGUCUUGUAAACCAAAAAAGGAGAACAACUACUCUCCCUAAGACU
rnacentral:tRNA from 1 species